rnacentral:rRNA from 1 species
AUUGAACGCUGGCGGCAGGCUUCACACAUGCAAGUCGAGCGGGGUGAUGGUGCUUGCACUAUCACUUAGCGGCGGACGGGUGAGUAAUGCGUCGGAACGUGCCGAGUAGUGGGGGAUAACGCAGCGAAAGUUGUGCUAAUACCGCAUACGUACUGAGGUAGAAAGUGGGGGACCUUCGGGCCUCACGCUAUUCGAGCGGCCGACGUCUGAUUAGCUAGUAGGUGAGGUAAAGGCUCACCUAGGCGACGAUCAGUAGCGGGACUGAGAGGCUGGUCCGCCACACUGGGUGUGAGACACGGCCCAGACUCCUACGGGAGGCAGCAGUGGGGAAUUUUGGGCAAUGGGCGAAAGCCUGAUCCAGCCAUGCCGCGUGUCUGAAGAAGGCCUUCGGGUUGUAAAGGACUUUUGUCAGGGAGGAAAUCCCUAGUGCUAAUAACACUGGGGGAUGACAGUACCUGAAGAAUAAGCACCGGCUAACUACGUGCCAGCAGCCGCCGUAA